GAGUAGUUAAUAAGAAUAAGCAUUAAAACAAGGAAAAGAAGAGACAAUUUCUUACUAUUUAGUGGGCUAGAGGUAUGUGGGCCUAAGGACUAAAAUCCAAAUCUCCUCAAGUUGGUAACUGAUAAUUGCCAAGCAAGAAAAUGAAGAACAGAAGCAGCGCCGCAGAGGAGAAAAGAGGAGGUGAGACAAAGCAACGACUGGGCGGUGGACGAUGGUCGGAGCUUGGGCAAGAUGGGCGGCAGAAGCAACGCCGUCGGCCGGUUCUGGUGGUGGUUUUCCGGGCAAAAAGGGGCGGCAGUGGUGGUUAAAUGGUGAUGAGUUAUGGGAUGAUUGAGCAGCUAUUUAUAGGAGCAAUGGUGUUCUCUGGAUGCAACAACUCAGCAAGAUUGUAUUAACAAGUAGCCGGUGCUCUAUAAUUUACAGGUAAUUCUGAUGAGUGAUCCGGGAAAAGAUGAACAAUGUUAUGAAAGAAACAGUUCCCACAAUUCUGCUGUUCCUGAUGGACGAAAAGGAGGAUAGCACGUAUUUGGUGAUGAUGAUGAUUAACACAAAGAUUGAAGAAAAAUAAUUAGAGGUAAAUUUUCAAUCUUUAAUAUAUUAUUUAUGUUUGCUCUUAAUUGUUAAAUAUUCGGAACAUCAUACAUUAUAUACUAUUGGCCAUAUGUGUGUACAUUCCGUAACGCAGAAUUAGAAAUCAACGAUUGAUUGUGAACAACCUUGAUUUAACCCUGUUUAUUUACAAGUUUUCAAUAAGACUUUGCUUUAAUUUAAAAUAUUUCUUUCGGUUUUGAAGAGGAACAAAGUGGUCUUGAUUGUUGCAUAAUUCCAGCAAAAAUUAUAAUUUUCUCUUGGUCUUGUCGAUAUUAAAAAUAUUUCUAUUUUUCCAAAUGGUUUGAAAUAUAAUUUUUAUUAUCUUGAAUCUAAAAGGUUUGAUUUUUAAAUGGAUUUUUAAAAUUACAAAGAAUUUGUUUCAUAAAUAUUUUACUACGAACAUGUGUGCAACAAGACUUGUUAAAAGCAUUAUUAAUUUGAAGUAUCAAAAAUUGUUUUGGCAAAUUGUCGAAAAGGUCAUGCAACUUGAAUUGAACCAUGUGACCAUGAAUACCAAAAUCAUUGAGAUGGAACUGAGAUUCGUUGUUCCUUGUGUUGCUUUCGGAAAACAAUUUUUGGUUCCAAAAGAGUUUUGAAAUCUGUGUUUAAAAAUUAUUGAACUUCUUCAUAAUGCAAAUAAAAAGGAAAAUUCAGAAUUUCAAAAUGAAAUUUUCAAAAUUUGAAUUUACUAGGAACAACCUAGAUAUCGUUUAUGGAACAAGUCAUAUCAAUUUCAAAACAGGUUUUACGAAUCAAAAUAAGUUUCUUAUUGGUGAAGUGUUGAACACAUGAAGGGAACUUAUAUGGAAAGUUCCGACUUUGAGUUUUGAAUUGACUUUGAUGGAACUUAGACAUGUUCCUACAACUGUUUCUAGUAAAGAUGACCUUAUCUGUUUUAAGAACUUGAAAUCCGACUUUAACUGUUUUAAAUACGAUAUUUAUGUGUCUUCAAUUGAAGAGAAGGUUUUCAAAUCAUUUUAAAAAUUAUCAAUCUUCAUCUCACUAGAAACAGUACAAGGAAUAGAUCUGGAGGAACUGAUUGUUCCUACUUAUGGGAACUGAAUUAUUUAGGCACUGUUAUUUUAAUAUUUUCAAGGUGUAUGCCUAAAGUCAAGAAGGUUAUGCAUUAUGAACUAUUUACUUAUUCAGUACCAUAUGAAUGCAUAAUUCAUCUUGUUAGUAUUAGUAGUAUAGUAAAACAUGUUUUAAAAAAUAAAGGGCACAUCUGACUACUCCUACUAACAACAAGGGACUCAAGCAAAUUUGGGUACCCAAGAACAAGAACUGAUCUAUUUUGCAGGCCAUAUGUGAGAAAAGACAAUAUAAAGCUCAUGACAAAAAUGUUAUUCAUGCACAUAUUUGAAGACAUAUAAGUGUGUCUCACGAAAAGCCUUUAAAAGAUAUUCUAGAAGAGAAGUUGUAUUACAGGUUUAUAUCAUUAUGCAAGAGAUCUAUAACGAAGAAAUGGACAGCUAACAAAUCACACAAAGAAGAAAGAAAAGAUGGUAUAUCCCUUAAGGUCCGUUGAAAUAUUAGGAACAGACGCAGUAGGAACUGGAUAAGAAAACCGUACAAAGUCAAAUCCAAUUCCUCCACAACAAGUCAGUUCCUUGUAAUCAAGAUGGAUGAAGACAACGAACAAACUCAUAUGGAUUAAAUUUAAGUUUCAAAGACUACGUUAAGAAGACAGAGUUAUGAGUAAUAUGAAGAAGGGAGUUUAAUCAAAAUCCUUAUUUACUUUGUGUGAUUUACUUUGUUUCCUUUAUUUAUUAUAUUAUUAACUCUUUGUGUUUGGUUAGUUGUGCAAAUUAACGAUAAGGUUUUGAAGAUCUAUUCUUGAAGUAAAAGAAAUUGAAGCGUAAAAAUAUGUUCCACGUAUCAAGGGAACAGAGACCAAGAUUUGGAGGAACCACUGAAGUACCUAAGAAUACAGGAACGAAAACCAACUUAUCCAUGAGAAGGCUUUGACGCCAACGCACAAGUUCCUGGUCCAACUCAUGAGGAACUCAAUUUCAGAAAUAUAACAGAAGUUCGGGAACAACUUUAUUAGUGAAUGUACAACAAGGAACAUCAACAAGGUGUACUGUUGUAAGUACAAAAGAGACUAUCAAAAGGGAGUAUUCACGUCCAGAAGUUUCUGUAUAUUUAUUUCUAUGCUUUAAUAUAUAUUUAUUUCUUGAAGACUAACCUACUAACCUUAUAAUUGCACAAAAGAUUACACUUGGGUUUUGAUUUUAGAUUACAUCAUUGUGAGCGAAAACAAAGAUGCUUUACUGGUUAAUAAAGACCCCAAACCAAUGCAACUUAUUCUUCAGAUCUACGCGAGACAACCCAAGAUGAAGAAGCAUGGUCAAGCAUAAAGACCAAAGGAAAGAGAGCGAGUUCCUGUUCAGAUGAAAGAGGAACAGGGAGCAGUUGAGACGAACUAUUCAGCAUCACUUAGAGCGUUCCAGCAAAGAAGAAAAAGAAACACGAACAAGAUCUCAACUAAUAAAAGGGGCCACAAGGAGCAACUAGAGUAAAUGUGAAACUAACACUUAAUGAAACUCGUCAGUAAGCCAUCAAUGAUCAAACCAUAUCCAACGUUUUCAAGCACGUUUGGACCAUGUGAGGUAUAACACUCUUACUCAUAUUAAUGAUGUGUUAAAUUGCAUGAAUAUCGCACCGUUUAUUUUAAGAAACCUUCUAAAUGUUAUUUCGUGUGAAUAAAUGCUUUUGAUGCUAUCACCAAAUAGUAAAGGAACAAGAAUUGUUGAAACUAACAUGAGCAUAAAGUACUCUUUUCCCAAAUGAACAUUUCGUUUAGGGCCCUUGUACACUUUUCAAUUGAAGUAAAUCAUGCACACCUAUAAGUCAAUGUGUCACAUUCAAUUCUCAUGUUUUAAGAGACAUAUUCACUUGCCUAAAAGUAUUAGAGGAAUCGUUGAGAAAUUUGGAUGUUGUCCCAAUACAAAAUUCCUAAGUUGCCAAAGGAACAAUAGACGAAACGUUGAAGGAACAAGGCAAUUAUGUUCCUGAAAUAUUGCACUUCUUUUUUAAAAUCUUUUAGAGGGAACAAACCUUCAAUACCCACACCGUAUUCCCAAAGUCAGGUUUGUGUUUUCGUGAUUGGGUUGAGCCUACCCAAGCCGAGCCAUUAGCAUUAUUCUACAAUCUUAUGAUUGUGGGUCUGUGCUAAGUUCAAUCAUACUCUACAACCCUGGUCUUUUCUAUUUCCAUAUCAUGUUUCAAUAAUUUCAAAGAUUCUUAUUCAUAUGUUCCUUAUCCCAUAUCAUAUGUGUACUGUAGACACCUACUUUUGUCCCCAUUCCCGAAAGGGAAUCCUCGAUGAUGAAAACGUAAAUCUCCACUUGACAACGCAUCUCCUAUAAAAUAACGAAUCUCAAUUCCCCUUUUCAUUUCACCAAAAACCUGCUAUUUAUAGAAACCUGCUAUUUAUGGAAACCUGCUAAAAUAGUAACUGCCGUAAUGGGUAGUUGUUAAAAGUGGCAAGUCAUAAAAGAUAGAAACCUGUCAGAAUUAGGUGUUGCACUCCAACAUAAAUCCUAAAUGAGAUAGAAAUUGCGAGAGAAUCCUAUUCCUAAUAUGAUUCGAAAGUAAGAGUUACGUAUUAAUUAAAAUCCUAACGAGCCUAGAGUUCGUAACGGGCCCAGACGCAUCCCGUCACAAGGUUAAUACGCACUAAAAGACUCAAUUAAAUCUCAAAUACUCCGGAUUCUAGGAAUCCGAAUCUGACUAAGAAAAACAGCCCAGAUCCUAUUUUCAACGCCUGGCUCUGGGCGCCGAAAUCUUCGGCGCCCAGGCCUGGGCGCUGAAAAUACCUGGUACGUGUUUUAGAGUUCUGCAAUUCUAUCUUUCCACGAACUCUUUUCUAUAAAUAGGGCCUUAAGUUCGACGUGAAAAGGACACAACAACACACAAUUAUUAUUCUGAGUAUUGACUCUAAACCCCUAAGCCUAAGCCACACGCUGCAAAACUGAUCACGCGUUCUGUCGCAAUCGAUCCAUAAAUCGAACAGAACGUAUCCCGUCCCAUAAUUUGAGAUUCGUUAAAUAAAAGGAGAAAUAGCAAAGUCAAAGUGGUUAGUUUUCUGAGAACCGUGACGCACCUCUCAAGGGUGCGUCGUAAUGUGUCCCUUUUCCAUGGUUUAAUUGCUUUCCUCACCCUUUUAUGAACUGUUAAACUAACUAAAUCUGAUUGUUCGAUCACGCUUAAUAAAUAUGAUAUUUUUUGGGAAAUUGGAUUAUCAUGCUAGGUCCCUUAAAACAAUCUAAAUCAGAUAAUCGCGUUCGAUCUACUACUAUAUGUUGCAUAUUGCUAAAAUCAACUCAGAUUAGUUUAAUAGUUAACGCAUGUCCCUUCAAUUAUUUAUGCUGAGCUAGUAAGGAUAUCCUGCCUCUGGAGUUAUCGAAGAGCGAGUAUUCCUCUCGGUAGUUACAGUCCCCCGAACCCUCAAUCUCUACCCUGCGGGUGUACGCUGAGCAAUCCCCACCACCAGGGAUCACAAGGGAACCUACGGCCAUCGUGGUCAAACAUAAUUGCAUUCCCUUUAUGUCACGAUAACCGGGUUUUGUCAGUUUUUCUCAUUGUUGUUAA